CUGUUGCUUGCUGACUCACACAGCAGGAAUUAGGCGGGUUGUGGCGAACGAGGAACCAAGAGGGGCGGAAACUGUAGCUAUACAACUGCGGAAUUGAUCAAUACGAGCAUGCUUUGUCUAGCCAGGGAGAGCGCCGAGGGUGCUGGUCUGUGGCACCAGAAGAGGUGAACUCUCAACGAGAUACUAAUCAAUGGUGAAGUAUUUAGAUCAGUUCUACAACCAACUCAUGUGCUUAUAACUGUAGCUUUUGUUCAAACCUCAGUUGUAGGUAAGCUACAUUGCCAAGUGCAAAUCCUCAUCUUACUACAGUUUUCAACUUUUCAUUGAUUUUCUAUUUUGGAUUGUAUUUCCAUUUUGGGCCCCAUUUUUGACUGUAGCUUUUGUUCUGACCCCACUUGUACGCAAUGUAAUUUGCAGCCAUGAUGCUACAUUGCCAAUAUUUUAGAAAACUGUAAUUUGCUGCCAUGAUGUUACGCACGUGCAGGUCUAUGGUAGUGGUACGAAUUUGGGGGUACAUCUCCUCGCACUCAGGUGGAAGAAAUUCCUCGCCCUCAAGUCCAACUAAUUCAGGACCUGCAUCUCUGAUAUACCGUGGUGAGUCAUGCUUACUCUCGAUCUCCCCAUUACUUUCCAUUCCAUUUCUUGGAUGAAAGGAAUGCUGGUUUAAUUUAACAUGUUGUUCAAACUCAGAAGCACUUGAUGUGCUCUUGCUGAUAUAUACAAGAAAUACCGGACCUUGAUGAAAAUCAUAGUACACUUCAUUCACAAUUUAAAUUCUUAGCCUAUCUAUCAUCAUGUCCAGGUUGGUUCCUUCCUCGAUGCCUUCUCUCUUGACAAUCGAUGAAAUACACAACUAGCUUGCACAUAUUUAAGGAGCACGUACAGUUUCAUUGUGUAAAAAAUAGUAGCAGGUGAGUUUUUAUUCAAAGAAGUCUCCACCAGUCGACCUACAUAUAUAUACAUGCCUAAAUGAUCUCUUUGUUUGUAAACACUUCAAUAUUUUGGUACUUUCCAUAGGUGGGUAUUUUAGCAGUUCAGCUAUCUGAAAGAGAAAAUGAGUUGCUUCAGCAGAAAACCGAGGUCAUGACAUUAGCCACUUCACUGAAACCGGUCAGUUCAUCACUUCAUCUUUGUUCGUUGGUAAGAUCUGUAUUCUGUUGACCUUUGUAAACACAUUUUAGUAUCAUUAUCCAUUCGGUGUUCUGUUUACAGUGUACUAUUAAAUGCCAUUUUCCAUGUGUAUUUUUGUUGAUUGCUGUUGGAUUUGGAGGCAAACUAAUUUCCUCCUAAAGUAUGAAUUAUCUGCCAUGUGUAUGACUUUGAAAUCUUCAGUUUGAAAUUAUGAAAGUUUGUUCCGCUCUUACAUUAAGCAAGUGUCUAGAGGAAGUUUUGCUUUUGUUUAGGCUCGAGAAACAAACUAUCACGCAGUAUUGUGAAUUUGAAAUGGUGCUCUUCUCUUCCAAAAAUGCAUAGCAAAAUUUCAGGGACCUGCAGAUAGUUUCUUGAGUAACAAAAUUUAGGAGGCCUGACUAAUUUUAUUAUGAUAGUUCAGACAUGCUGCCAAUGAAAUUCACCCUUUACAGAAAACAGCAAGUUGUUUACUCAUGUGUUGUUCUGUUAUUAGACUGUAGGGAUAAGUUACCUUUUAGUUUUUACUACACCAAGGUUAAAGCUUUGUUUUCUUUUCAUAGCUGCACCAUUUUCUUCUACAAUUUAUAGAUAUUCUUUUUUUUUCGAGAGUACGCCAAAGGCAUACUUUUAUAGAAGAGAGAAAAUACAAUGUACAAGAAGCCUCGAAAUGGAUGCGAACAUCCACUCUCGACCACACCCCAGUACAACCAAAGCAGAUGUACUCUAAACACCCCAUUACACAUAAUUAUUUACAGAUGUUCUCAUAGAUUUGGGAUGUAACAAUGGUUAACCUGCUCUUUAUGUUUUUUGAUAAUUGCUUUGACCAUCUGUUAAUUAGGCAUUACUAUGUAUCCGGCUUUUUCUAAGAUAUCUUUUAUGCCAUCAUGGCACUGAACCAUGAGUGAAGCAAUGAUGUAAACAACUCUGGGGUAUAACCAUUUGGCUGCUGGACUAAACAUUACAUAUUUAGUAACUAUUUCAAAACACAAAAUUUCAUGAUGAAAAAAUCAGCUUGUCCAUUUUCUUUUAUGGCUUGACUCUGUUCAAUCUUACAGAGAAAGGGACUGUUUUCUUCUUUUGUGACAUGACAGGAAGCAAGGUCAUGUGUAAGACGGAGGAGGAAACUGAUUUGGCUCUUCAUCACGUUGAGACUGUUGCAGCCAUGUGUGAUGUGUCAAUUUCUAUGAUGGGACAAAGGGUAGAAUCAGGAUGAUAUGGCUAAGAAAUAGUAGCAAAUAAGUGACUACUAGGGUGUCCGUACUAGCAACAAAGUUACAUAAAUUUAUUGAUCUUGAACUAAUUUGCACAUUCUUUAUUUAUCCGUAAUUUAGUUUUGCUUCCAUCCGAAAAACAUUAUAAAUCAGUAAUAAAGGUAUGUACGGAUGAAAAACUAUGUAAAUAUUAGACAACUAUUUAUUAACAAUUAUUUGAUGUCGAUUGAGACGUGCGUUGCACGUACAUGUUUACUAGUU
rnacentral:lncRNA from 1 species